AUAAGACAUGCAAGUCGGACGGGUAUUUCUCGUUGUAGCAAUACGAUGGAAAGUCUAGUGGCGAACGGGUGUUUAACACGUGGGCAACCUGCCAGGAAGUGGGGGAUAGCUCGCCGAAAGGCGAAUUAAUACCGCAUGUGAUUAGAGAGGACAUCCUUUCGAAAUUAAAGUCGGGGCAACCUGACGCUUCUUGUGGGGCCCGCGGCCUAUCAGCUAGUUGGUGAGGUAACGGCUCACCAAGGCUUUGACAGGUAGCUGGUCUGAGAGGACGACCAGCCACACUGGGACUGAGACACGGCCCAGACACCUACGGGUGGCAGCAGUCGAGAAUUUUUGACAAUGGGGGAAACCCUGAUCGAGCGACGCCGCGUGGAGGAUGAAGGUCUUCGGAUUGUAAACUCCUGUCAUUUGGAAACAAGGCGUAUUUAUUAACUGUAAGUACGUUGAUAGUACCAGAAGAGGAAGAGACGGCUAACUCUGUGCCAGCAGCCGCGGUAAUACAGAGGUCUCAAGCGUUGUUCGGAUUCAUUGGGCGUAAAGGGUGCGUAGGCGGCGCGGUAAGUCGGGUGCGAAAUCUCGGGGCUUAACUCCGAAACUGCAUUCGAUACUGCCGUGCUUGAGGACUGGAGAGGAGACUGGAAUUUACGGUGUAGCGGUGAAAUGCGUAGAUAUCGUAAGGAAGACCAGUGGCGAAGGCGGGUCUCUGGACAGUUCCUGACGCUGAGGCACGAAGGUCAGGGGAGCAAACGGGAUUAGAUACCCCGGUAGUCCUGACAGUAAACGGUGCACGUUUGGUGUGGGA
rnacentral:rRNA from 1 species